rnacentral:rRNA from 1 species
GACGAACGCUGGCGGCGUGCUUAACACAUGCAAGUCGAGCGGUAAGGCCCUUUCGGGGGUACGACGAGCGGCGAACGGGUAGAGUAACACGUGGGUGACCUGCCCUUAGCUCUGGGAUAAGCCUGGGAAACUGGGUCGUAAUACCGGAUAUGACUCCAUGACGCAUGUUGUGGGGUGGAAAGCCUUGUGCGGCUAGGGAUGGGCCCGCGGCCUAUCAGCUUGUUGGUGGGGUGAUGGCCUACCAAGGCGACGACGGGUAGCCGGCCUGAGAGGGCGACCGGCCACACUGGGACUGAGACACGGCCCAGACUCCUACCGGGAGGCAGCAGUGGGGAAUCUUGCGCAAUGGGCGAAAGCCUGACGCAGCGACGCCGCGUGGGGAUGACGGCCU